UGUUCCUUGUGCUCACCUGUACACUGUUAUUGAUGUUUCUAACGCACUGAAUAUUUGCUAAAGGACAAUCGAUCGUGAUACCGAGAACAAAACAGCGUGCUUCAAGCUGGAUCUCCCAGUAGAUGACAAAGCUUGUUAUAUCAACGAACCUACCGGUUGAUUGCGAUUUACAGGUUUCUGCAGUCAGUGCGGGGAAUCCGAGCUGGAUCACAUUGAGAACACCUGGCUUGUCUUCGGACAGCUGGAUCAUGUACUCGAAUAGUGUCCUGUUCAAGAUAUUAAUAGGGACCGAUGGAGCUGUCAGUAUUCACAGACGAGGGGUGAAAUCCUUAGACUCUGUGAAGACUAACAACAGCGAAGGCAUUCAGCUAAGAGGCCUUCAUUAAUCAAGAACGAGAGUGCAGGGAUCGAAGAUGAUCAGAUACCGUCGUAGUCUGCUACUGUAAACUAUGCAAACUAGGGAUCAGUUGAUUCCGUUGACGAACGAGAUCCCAACCCUUCGAUGACAGUUAUAUCGUAUGUAAUCAUUCGGUGCUUAACCCGGACUAUGUGUGUUAACAACACAUUGAAGUGUGGGCCAGUAGCAGGUCUGUGAUGCUCCUAGAUGUUCUGGGCUGCAUGCGGCAUACAAUGGUUAAGUCAAUAGGAUUGGUUCGAUCGAGCUCCUGUUGCGAAAGCAUUGGGAACUCCCAUCAGAUUUAACUGUGGCUGGGAUAGAUAUUUGCAACUGUUUGUCUUGAACUAGGAAUGCCUUGUAAACACAUCUCAUCAGAGUGUAUUGAAUGCGUGUCCCUGCCGUUUGUACACACCGCCCGUCGUUGCAAUCGAUUGGUUCAAUACUAGAGAUCUUCUGGAGAGACACUGUAAUGAUUCGUCUGAAUGGCUGGUUCAAAGUUGCUCAAUAGUGUCGAACUAGAGAAUGCAAAAGUCGUAACAAGGUAGCCG
rnacentral:rRNA from 1 species